rnacentral:lncRNA from 1 species
AACAGCUUAUAUACUUUAAAAGUAUAGAAGAAAGAAGAAAUAAAAAGUCUCAUAAUGGCUUUAAAAACUGAUAAAAAUAAUAUAAGAAACAUAGAACUCGAAUUAACAGAAGAACUUAGAGAAAGGCAUAUAGACACAACAGGAGGAGAAAUAUUAAUAGAAAAGAAAAUAAAGUUUAUAGAUGAAUUUAUAAAAUUUCUAAUAUACUGGUAUAAGAAGGAAGCAUUAUGAAUCAUAAUCAACAUGCAUUUAAUAUAAUACAUGAAUUAGUAGGUAGUAUAGAUCAUAUGAUUUUAGGAUGGGAAAACAUAUUAAAUACAUACAUAAAUCUAAUAAAUCAGAAAAUAGAAUUACUAGAACAAGAAAGGAUAGGAAUAAUAAAUUUAGGACCAGAAAUCUACUCUGAAAUUAUAGAUUUAUAUGAAUUUGAUAACCAUUUGAUGUUAUUUUAAGAAAUAAACAAAACCUUAGAAAGAAUGAGAAAUAGGUGUAGAAGGGAAGGAAGAAGGCAAAUACAUCCACAAUUGUAAAAGAUAAAAAAUAAAAGGACCCAAAAGAAAUUAGUCAAAGAAGAAAAAGACAAAAAACGUAAGAUACAUUGAUCGUAACUUAGGCACUCCCUUUUAAUAUUUAAGCUUAAUGGUCAAUAAUCGGCCCACUAUUGGUAGUACCACUAUUGGUAGUAGAAUUUUUAUUCCAACACUAUACAAUUUUCGUGUGAGGUGGUCUUGGGCUUAUCUCAACCUCAAAAGUCAAAAGCCAGCUCAAUAAGUGAGAUUUUUUUCUCACACUUAUGAAAUCACCACGAGCUCCUCCCCCAACCAAUGUGGGAUAAUCCCAACAAUCUCCCCUCACUCAUCGGGUCGUGGGUUGGAAGCAUAAGCAUCCAUUCUCCCUAUUAGAUUGUUGGUUGAGUUGUUGGUGAACCUAAGCUUUGAUACUAAUGUUAGAUGGUCUUGGGCUUCUCUCGACUUCAAAAGCUAGCUCAAAGAGAGAGAUAUUCCCUCACAUUUAUGAGGUCAUUAUCAGCCUCUUCCACAAUCGAUGUCGGCUAACCCGACAUUUCUCUCUCUAUAUAAUACAUAAGUUGGAUAAUAAAUUUAUAUCUCAAUCUAGGUAUAAACAUUAAUUUUAUUUCUUUUUAUCAAUCAUUAUUCUAUUGGGUCUAUCGACUCACCGUACAAAAUGUUGUAAAACUUCCCCGCCGAAGAGACUUUGGUAGCUUUGAGUUUGUAAAUCAAGUUCCUAUCCGUCGUCCCUCCUAAUCCAUUCUUCGGCGAAGUACGCCUGACAUUCUUGUACCUUACAACGUCAUAUUUGGCACAAAAUUCAUGAAAUUUAAACCAAACACUAAACUAUUAUUAGUUCUCAACAUUUUAUAUCAUUCGACGUUUUGUGUCAGAAUAAAUAUUUUUAUCUUUGAACGUCUCAAGCACUUAUUCAUGGCUUAUUUCUCAACUCACUAUAGAUUAAUGAUGCUGAUGAAAUUGUGGAUUAACCAGACAAUAUUGUAAUUAUUACACAUACACACAAGCACACGUACAUACGUACAAAAGCAUAUAGGAGUUGACCUUGCUCAGGAUUUUAAAAAAAUGAAUAAAAUUUUCCAAUAAUUAAUUGAGAUAAAAAAGAUCAUUAAAACCCGAGUACCCCUCGCAAUUGUUUCACAUGAAUUUCUGUAUUUAUGCACAUAUAAUAUUUUGAAUGAAUCUAUAAUGAUGUUAAUUUUUUAAUGAGCUUAAUCUUAAAUUAAAAUUUUCUUUUGAAAAAAAAUGAAGAAAUCUUAAAAUAUUAUAAAAUAUAGAUCAGUUGGAAAACUAUUCCUAGAAAUGCAUCUUAGUUUUACUCUUGGAAAAUGUUUCCUUUCGUACUUGCGAGGAAUUAGAAAUUGAACAAUAAUUUUUAGACUUUUCAUUGUCUUUGUGGUUAUAUGGUUGUCUUUAAUAUAAAUAUAUGAUCCCGGAGGCCAAAUGUCUAAUUCACAUGCAUUUACCUAAUACUUUUUUUCUUUUUUCUUUGUUUUUGGGAUAGGGCAAUUACCUAAUACCUUGAAGAAAGAGAGAUAAAAUAUAAUUCAUGCCAAUUUGUUGCAACAAAGCUUUCAUAUCAAGCGUUGGCAUAAAUUAUUAUGCCAAUUUGUUCAAGACAAUAUCUUUAGUUGGCAUGUAAUUUUCAUUAGCCGGCGUCUACUCUUAAUUUAUGUCAAAUUAAGUAAUCGCUCGGCCCCAAUAAUGUUGCCUUUGAUAUCUCAGCCCCAGUAAAAGAAUUGGCUGAAAGAGAAUGUUGGUCACUGUUUGAGCAAGUAUGCUUUUGGCGGUCCUUUGAGGAUCUUCAAAAUUUAGAACCAAUCAAAAAUAAAAAAUUUCAUACUAGUGUAAAGGCUUGCCUCUUAAUGCAAAGAUAAUACGAAGUCUCUUGCUGACAUAUGAAAUACUAACUAGGCAACCCAAGAGGGGGGGUGAAUUGGAUUUUUAAAAUUUAAGCGAAGCAAACCACACAACAAUUUAAUCUAUUGCCUUGAUCAAAUUGAAAACAAUAAAUUCAAUCAUGCACAAUAUUAAAAGAGUAAGGGAAGAGAAAACAAACACAAUGAUUUUUACGUGGUUCGGCAAUCCCUGCGUACGUCCAUGCCUCCAAGCUCACCGGGCUUGAGGAUUUCACUAAGCUAGCCUCCCAAGGCUUCAAACGCUUACAAUUAACUUCUAAGGUGUCAAUGGACCUUUACAACAAGAGAUUAUCCCCAAUCUCUUAACCCAAGUGUAUCCCAACACUUACAAUCUUUUAACUUGAUUUUACAAAAAAAAGAUUACAAAUGAAUCUCUCUCACACAAUAUGUUUGAUCACAAGUGAAAGCUCAAUGUGUGAAUGAAUGAGACGAAUACAAGAAUUUAAAGCUCAAUGAAAGUUGUAUUCUCAAUAUUUUGCUCAAUGAUGAUCGUUGCAAUCCUUCUUGUUUGAAUUGGAUUGAGCUUAUUUAUAGUUGGAGCUGAAAAACUAGCCGUUACAAACUGUCUGCCCGAAAACGGUUCGCCGUUAACCAUUAACGGUUAACCGUUUACGCUGGUCAAAAGUUACCGUUGGGCCAAAUUUCAAAUAAACGGUUAGCCGUUUAGGCUUACCCUUUCGCCGUUAAAUUCCAGAGACCUGCAAAACAAAUUUGAUUUAACCGUUCUUACUAAACGGUUCAAGGUUAGCAAUCUGGAAAUAAUCGGUUAGCCGUUUUCAGUAAACGGUUCACCGUUAUUUUCCAGAAUCAUCCUUUUAACAAUACUUUUCAGAACAUGCUUUCUGGAAAUUAUCGGUUACCCGUUUUAAAUAAACGGUUAGCCAUUUGCUACAGUGAAAUUGCUACAGUGAAAUUAUUUUCCAAAAUUAUAGUUUGACCCCAAAACUUUAUAAAACUGUAGUAUGGCCCAAAACGUUAUGAAAUAUUGCACAUAGGUCCAAUUUCAGAAUUUCUAAGUAAUGCUUUGUUAAUCCCAAAACUUUAUGAAAUUAUGGUAUAGAUCAAAAUGCUAUGACACUUUCCAAAUAAGUCAUUCUCCAAAAUUUCAAGCAAUAUUUGUUUAUUUCAAAGUUUUCAAAAUUCUUUCAAUUAAACCAUAAACUUUGAAAAACAACCAAUUUCAUAAAAUCAUUUUUCCAUUAAAUAUGAAACAUUUAUAAUGUGAAAAUAAUGAUUUAUUUAAAAAGAAUAAAAACAAUCAAUUUCUUGAAAUCAUUUUUCCAUUAAAUAUAAAACCUUUAUAAUAUAAAAAUAAUGAUUUUUUUGAAAAUGUAUAAAAAAUAAUUUGAUCUUAAAAGAUUAAUCAUUCUUAAUCUUGUUUUUUAUCAUCAAAAUCAAUAUUAUGGAAACAUAUAUGUUAACAAUCUCCCCCUUUUUGAUGAUGACAAACGUUUCAUGUAUUUAAAAAAUGAUUGCACAAAUUGCUCCCCCUAAAUGUAAGCUUCUCUUACAAUUUAGCUAAAUUAACAAAUUUAAAUACAUGCAUUCUUCUCCCCCUCAUCAUCAAAAAGAAAACUUAGUGGAAAAGAAAAAGAGUAGCAAAUUUGUUACCCAUGUUGCCGAGUAGAAAUUUUGACACAUUCUCCCCCUAACAACAAGCAUUACCUCAAAUACAAGUUUAGUAAUAUUACUCCCAAAUUAUUAUAAAUCAUCAUACACAACAUGUAAUCAAAUCAUCAUCAUGUCUCAAAAUCAUCACCAUAAUCACAUAUUAAUCAUCAAAACAAUAUUCAAAAGUCCAUAUCAUUCUCCUCUUUUUGAUAGCAUCAAAAUGAUAUAUUACUUUGUCUCCCCCUUUGGACAACCAAAAAGUUCAAAAUGCAUAUUAUCCAAAAUCAUAUUAUAUGCUCCCCCUAAAUAUAUGGCCAAUUUAAAAUUUUAACCAAAACGAUUUUAUCCAAAAACAUAUCAUAUUUAUCUCCCCCUUCAUAAAAAAAAAGAUAGAUAGAUGCAAUCGAAACAAGAUCAUAAAAAUAAUUCGAUGAAGAUAUUACCCAUUUUGUGCGAGCAAAAAUUUUGGCAAAGUCUCCCCUUAAAAAUGAGCAAAUUCUCAAAUACACAACGUGAUUAAAAACACUUCCAUAUAAGCUUAAACACGUAUAACAAACCAACAACUCCACCAAGUCAGUUCACACAUAAAUAAUCAUUCAACAACAAAGGCAUCACAUAGACAAAUCCAUCAUUAAAAUCAUAUAGAAGUAGCAAUGUAUACCAAACAAAAUAUAAAUAGCAACACACCAGGAAACAGAAUAUGAAAUGUAUGUGCGAAUAUGAGAGUCAGAAACUAAGUAGGUGGUUUUGAUGUGAAAUUAUGGCUCAAUUUGGUUGAAGAAGGGCAAAGUUUCGGUCAACAUGGAGGAAAUCCGUUCGGCUGCCCUUAGGGUUUGGAUUUCUAAAGAUGAAGAGAAAUGCUUUUAUUAGAGUGAUUUGGCAAGAAAAUGAAGAAAAAUGAAGGAUUGAAGAAGGAGAAAGCUUCGACUGUGCAAUAAUGGCAGAAACGGUAAGAGGGCAAAUGAAGAAGGAGAAGAAACCCUUGGAACAAUUUUAUAUUUCAAGAAAACGGCAAGCCUUUUUCUGUAAAUGGUGAGGGAGUAACUUCCAGAGAGCAUUUAAUGGAAAAACGGUGAAAGGUUAGUCCUUAACGGUAAAGGGGUAAAUUCCAGUGAGCUUUAUGUUUUUAAACGGUUUACCGUUUGCCGAAAACGGUAAGGGAGUAAGGUUUAAAUCAUCAGAGUCUAGUUUCUGGAAUUAAACGGUACACCGUUUAUUGAGAAACGGUUAUCCGUUUACUUCAUCUAUAAUUCCGCACAUUUAAUUUAAUUUUUGGCCAGCAAAUAAUACAUUCCAAAAUCAUUUAAUUGAUCCAAAAAUGUUUUAUAAGCCAUUUUAAUGCAUGAGACAUAAAUGUAUACAAGACCAAACAUAUGAAAUCGUAUCAAACAAUAAUGUCAAUUUUAUAAAUGAAUGAUGAUAUAACACAAUUAAUGGCAUAUGAAUUCACACAUAUAAUUCAUUCAUCAUGUGUAUAUUUUACACAAUCAUGAAACAUAUAAGCAUUCAAAGAUUAAUAAUUCAAGCAUAUCACUCAUUUAUCAAGCUUAGGCAUUACAUAAUCAUCAAAAUCGAACAAAGCUAUCAUGAUGAGUUGACAAGCUAUCAUCUUAUAUAUAUAACCAUGCAUCAUGAUAAAGCACUCAAUGUUAAACACAAUUCAAUCAUGUAAACAUACAAGUAAACUUUCACAAAUUCAAGCUAUUAUCCAUUUAUCAUGAUCCAUUCAACAAAAUUAAUAUGACAAGAAUUAUAACCAAAACAAUUAAAUCAUCUUGCCUCAUCUUUUUCUCUUAGAUCAUACUCAAGAGAUUAUCCUCACAAGCUUUCAUCAAAGAACUCUCCACCAUUCCUUGAUUGUGGUACCUACAAAGAAAACAUUCACGUUGUGCCCUUUGGUACCCAAAUACUCUUGGGUCCUUGAGUGUUAGCAAUUGUUCCUUUUGGAACCCAAACACAUUUUACUCCAUAAUAUACUUUUCUUUUAAUAGGACAACCAAGCUUCAUGUGACCGUUUUGAUUACAAUAAUGACAUACAACUUGAUUGUUAGUAGAUGUACUCUUCACAAAGUAGUUCUUAUAAUACUUUUGUUUCAAAUGUGGCUUAUAACCAAGUGCUCCUUUAUCAAACACACAUUUUUGUGAAUUAAUCAAGUUAUCCAACAUCUUUUGUCCAUUUGUAAAUCUUCAAACAAUCUCAUUUAACUCAUUGCUCUUCUUCUUAAGCAUUUCAUUUUCCUUUUUCAAGUCAUCUAUGUGAUAUUCUAGAUGCUCAUGUGAAGUGCUAGGUUUCUCAUUUGAUAAUGCAACUCUAUCAUGCAAUGUUUUAUUCUCUAAUUCUAGGUAUGUAAUCUUUGCACAUAGAGAUUCAUUUUCAUUUUUAAGCUCUACCAUUUUCUUUUUAAGACAAGCAUUCUUUUUACCAUUUUUUAUCCAAUUAUCAUGCAAUUCUUUAAAAGCAUCAUAUAAUUCAUCAUAAGUAAAAAGAUCAUUUACCUCAUCAAGUUCAUCAUCCGAUUCAUCUCCAAUUGCCAUGAGAGCUAGAUUUGUCAUUUCUUGAUGCUCUUCAUCAUCACUUGUUUCCUCAUCGCUAUCAUCCCAUGUGGCUACCAUUGCUUUCUUCUUAAGCUUGUUGAGAAGAGGACAUUCCGUUCUUAUAUGGCCAAGCUUCUUGCACUCAUAACAUUUGAUUAAUUCCUUCUUCUCCUUUCGGUUCUUGAGGUCUCUAAAUUUUCUUCGCUCACCGGAUUUCUUAAAAAGUUUUCUGAACCUCCUAGCCAGCAUAUCCAUCUCUUCCUCAUCCAGCUCGUUUUCCUCAUCACUUUCAUGUUUCGAGGCUUUGAGAGCAAUGUUUUUCUUCUUCUCCUCAUUGCCUCUUUCGGCUUCUAAGUCUUCCUCAUAAGAAAUAAGAGAGCCAAUUAAAUCAUCAAUAGGUAAGAUAUUUAAAUCCUUGGCUUCUUCAAUGGCAGUCCUUUUUUGUCUCCAUUCCUUAGGUAGCGACCUAAUAAUUUUCUUAACUUUCUCGCUAUUUGAAAAAGUCUUUCCUAGGGCUCCUAGAGUGUUCACUAUGUCCGUAAAUCUAGUAUACAUAGAAUACACACUCUCAUUUUGUUCCAUUUGGAACAAUUCAUAUUGCUGAGUGUACCUACUAAUUUUAGACUCUUUCACUUGAUUUGUGGCUUCAUAAACAACUUCAAGUUUGUGCCAAAUUUCAUUAGCACUCUCACAACUAGAUACUCUAUGAAAUUCUUUCUUAUCUAGUGCACAAAAUAAGGCAUUCAUAGCUUUGGAAUUUAGAGUAGCUUUUCUAUUUUCCAAUUCAUUCCAUUCCCGUGAAGGUUUUGGAAUAUCUUCCCCGACUUCGUUUCUAGUCAAAGGCAUAAAUGGACCAUCACAAACAAUUUCCCAAAUUUCAUAAUCUAAAGCUUGUAAAUAAAUUCUCAUCCUAGUUUUCCAAUAUGGGUAGUCAUUACCGUCAAAGAACGGUGGUCUAAUUGUGGAUCGUCCUUCCCUAAAGGUUGAAUCACUAUAGGUUGCCAUGGAUCUUUAACUCUAGACAGUUAAGUCUACACAAGAGCACCUCGCUCUGAUACCAAAUGAAAUACUAACUAGGCAACCCAAGAGGGGGGGUGAAUUGGGUUUUUAAAAUUUAAGCUAAGCAAACCACACAACAAUUUAAUCUAUUGUCUUGAUCAAAUUGAAAACAAUAAAUUCAAUCAUGCACAAUAUUAAAAGAGUAAGGGAAGAGAAAACAAACACAAUGAUUUUUACGUGGUUCGGCAAUCCCCGCUUACGUCCACGCCUCCAAGCUCACCGGGCUUGAGGAUUUCACUAAGCUAGCCUCCCAAGGCUUUAAACGCUUACAAUUGACUUCCAAGGUGUCAAUGGACCUUUACAACAAGAGAUUAUCCCCAAUCUCUUAACCCAAGUGUAUCCCAACACUUACAAUCUUUAACUUGAUUUUACAAAAAAAAGAUUACAAAUGAAUCUCUCUCACACAAUAUGUUUGAUCACAAGUGAAAGCUCAAUGUGUGCAUGAAUAAGAUGAAUACAAGAAUUUAAAGCUCAAUGAAAGUUGUAUUCUCAAUAUUUUGCUCAAUGAUGAUCGUUGCAAUCCUUCUUGUUUGAAUUGGAUUGAGCUUAUUUAUAGUUGGAGCUAAAAAGCUAGUGAUGGGUGUCGAAGCCAACAAAAAUAAAUUCCUACUCUAAAUAAAUUGUGUAUAGUGAUUGAGCAGGGUCGUGUCCACAGAGAUCGGUAAUUAUUUAAAUCCUUUUGAAACGUAAAACGUAAAAUGGGGGAAUUGUUGACAAUAAUAAAAAUCAAAUUAAAAUAACAAGAAUGCAAAUUAAAGUUGUAAUUCAAAUUGGAGAAAGCUCUGGUUGAAGGAAUUAACUCAGCUUGAUUCGACUACUGAUCAUUGAUUCAAAUAUAGAUUAUUAUUACUCAUGAAUAGACCGGUUAUAGCUACUGAGACCCUCUAAUAGCCAAUCUCUCCUUAACUAGUCGAUAACCAAGGUACGACCGUUGGUUAUUUCCCUAAUCAAUAGACAACCCUAGAUACGAUCAUAGAAUUUAAUCAAUUGACAGCCUGAAAAACCAGAGAGACCCAAAUCCUAAUCAACACAUAUGAUGAUUCAUUUAAAUUAGAUUGUUUAUUCUCACAACACAACUCUCUGCUAUGUUAUUUGUCACAAACAUUAAAUUCUUCAUACGAUGAAUCCUUUAAUUGACAAUAGAUUAAGUUGAUAAUUAAAUAGUGGCCAAUUACCUAAUUAACAAACAUAAUCAUGAAAAUAAUUCAGAGAAUAAACAAAUACCCAAAAAGUAAUAAAACAAUUAAAGCACAAGAAAGAUCUCACAGUAGUGAUGAAUCAAAGCUUCAUUAACCUUCAACCAGAAAAAUGGGUUUAGUUCCUCAUAGAGAGAAGAGAAAAAUUAGAUCUAGGGUUUUUUUCUUUUUCUCCAAUCCAAAAUUCCCCCUUUUUCACAAUAGAUUCCUCCCUUAAAUACUUUCUCUCUCUUCUCUUUUAGAAUUCUAUUUAAAAUAAAAUCCUAAUAUCUGAAAUAUUAAAUUCGUAAUUACAAAAAUAACCAAAAAUACAAAACACGUUAAACUAAAAACUGCAGGUCCGCAGUUGACAGCACGCGCCCACGCCUUAUCAACAAAGUUCUUCUGACGCUCAUAAUUUCUCCAAGAGAACAAUCAUCCUUAAACAUCAUCUUAUAGCUCAAUUUUAUCAUCAAUCAAUAGAAUUGCACCUACAAAAGUAAAACACAAGUAAAUCACUAUUAUUAAGUGCAAAACAUUGAUAUUAAGGGAAGUAAAUAAUGCAAAACUAGUGCAUAAAUUGCACUCUAACAGCUAGCCGUUACAAACUGUCUGCCCGAAAACGGCUCGCCGUUAACCAUUAACGGUUAACCGUUUACGCUGGUCAAAAGUUACCGUUGGGCCAAAUUUCAAACAAACGGUUAGUCGUUUAGGCUUACCCUUUCGCCGUUAAAUUCCAGAGACCUGCAAAACAAAUUUGAUUUAACCGUUCUUACUAAACGGUUCAAGGUUAGCAAUCUGGAAAUAAUCGGUUAACCGUUUUCAGUAAACGGUUCACCGUUAUUUUCCAGAAUCAUCCUUUUAACAAUACUUUGCAAAACAUGCUUUCUGGAAAUUAUCGGUUAGCCGUUUCAUACAGUAAAAUUGCUACAGUGAAAUUAUUUUUCAAAAUUAUAGUUUGACCCCAAAACUUUAUAAAACUAUAGUAUGGCCCAAAACGUUAUGAAAUAUUACACAUAGGUCCAAUUUCAGAAUUUCUAAGUAAUGCUUUGUUAAUCCCAAAACUUUUUGACAUUAUGGUAUAGCCCAAAAUGCUAUGACACUUUUCAAAUAAGUCAUUCUCCAAAAUUUCAAGCAAUAUUUGUUUAUUUCAAAGUUUUCAAAAUUCUUUCAAUUAAACCAUAAACUUUGAAAAACAACCAAUUUCAUAAAAUCAUUUUUCCAUUAAAUAUGAAACAUUUAUAAUGUGAAAAUAAUGAUUUAUUUAAAAAGAAUAAAAA